rnacentral:rRNA from 1 species
GCGCGUAAAUUGCCCGAAUCCUGACACAGGGAGGUAGUGACAAGAAAUAACAAUACAGGGCUACUUUAGUCUUGUAAUUGGAAUGAGUACAAUUUACAUCUCUUCACGAGGAUCAAUUGGAGGGCAAGUCUGGUGCCAGCAGCCGCGGUAAUUCCAGCUCCAAAAGCGUAUAUUAAAGUUGUUGCAGUUAAAACGCUCGUAGUCGGAUUUCGGGGCGAGCCUGCCGGUCUGCCGAUGGGUAUGCACUGGCAGGGUCGUCCUUCCUUCCGGAGACUGUCCCUACUCUUAACUGAGCGGGGUCGGGAGACGGAUCGUUUACUUUGAAAAAAUCAGAGUGUUUCAAGCAGGCAGCUCGCUCUUGCAUGGAUUAGCAUGGGAUAAUGAAAUAGGACUUUGGUGCUAUUUUGUUGGUUUCGAACACCGAAGUAAUGAUUAACAGGGACAGUCAGGGGCACUCGUAUUCC